CGCCGCAACACCUUGGGACGGACUACACUGGAUGUGUUGCUUCGCUUGUAAUGAUUGGAAAAUCCAUUUGUCCUUCAUGUCAGACACAGCACGAGCGCUUGAAGUAUAUCUAGGAAGACACUGAAGCAGCGGGGCAGUGCCACAGCAUUUGCCCGGGGAUGAACCCGUGAGAGUGAAAGAGUUCCGGAGAACAUCUACACUGUCUGUCGAUGCAAUUUACGAGAGAUUAAGACCAGCAAGUAAGGCAACUGCAAUGAAGCAUCAAAAAAGAUGAGCAUGCCAACCACUCUGGGACUAAUAGUUCAUGAGAAGACAUUCCUGUCACUAACAAAGUGGAUGGUGAGCAAAGGUGGUGGGCAUGUUUUGGAGCAGCACCUGGGUUUUGCAGAUCUUCGGCUGCAUGUCUUUUUCUCCAUUAUGUUUCUGUUGCCUAUAGAUUCUUUGUGAGGAUAAAUCCAGAGGAUACAACAUAAUGCACUGCAAAACGUUCUAAGACAGGAGAAAUUGUGAAGAUGCACUGUUCCAGCAGUGGAAAACUGCAUUUUUAGGUGUUAUA